rnacentral:misc_RNA from 1 species
GUAGGUGAACCUGCGGAAGGAUCAUUACAGAAUUGGAUGGUUGGUGGGAGGGGGGGUUUGGUUGGUUGGUUGGUUGGUUAUACCAAUCUCGGAUCUCCCGUCCAUCACAUAUCAUUUGCGCUUGUAUUGUUUGACAGAGUAAAUGGUGAAUAAUAAUAUUAUGACAACUUUUAACAAUGGAUCUCUGGGCUCUU